GUCGAGCGGACUUUAAAGCUUGCUUUUAAGUUAGCGGCGGACGGGUGAGUAACACGUGGGCAACCUGCCUGUAAGACUGGGAUAACUUCGGGAAACCGGAGCUAAUACCGGAUAAUCCUUUUCCUCUCAUGAGGAAAAGCUGAAAGACGGCAUCUCGCUGUCACUUACAGAUGGGCCCGCGGCGCAUUAGCUAGUUGGUGAGGUAACGGCUCACCAAGGCAACGAUGCGUAGCCGACCUGAGAGGGUGAUCGGCCACACUGGGACUGAAACACGGCCCAAACUCCUACGGGAGGCAGCAGUAGGGAAUCUUCCGCAAUGGACGAAAGUCUGACGGAGCAACGCCGCGUGAGUGAUGAAGGUUUUCGGAUCGUAAAGCUCUGUUGUUAGGGAAGAACAAGUACAAGAGUAACUGCUUGUACCUUGACGGUACCUAACCAGAAAGCCACGGCUAACUACGUGCCAGCAGCCGCGGUAAUACGUAGGUGGCAAGCGUUGUCCGGAAUUAUUGGGCGUAAAGCGCGCGCAGGCGGUCCUUUAAGUCUGAUGUGAAAGCCCACGGCUCAACCGUGGAGGGUCAUUGGAAACUGGGGGACUUGAGUGCAAAAAAGAAGAGUGGAUUUCCACGUGUAGCGGUGAAAUGCGUAGAGAUGUGAAGAACACCAGUGGCGAAGGCAACUCUUUGGUCUGUAACUGACGCUGAGGCGCGAAAGCGUGGGGGA
rnacentral:rRNA from 2 species